GCCGUGCUUGGGCGCGCAGUGUGCGUGGCUUGAGCCCCGCCGCUGUUUGCAGGGGACGGUUUCCUGGUAGGGGUACUGUUUUGGAAACGCGCUCAGCGUUCGGACUGCCUGUUGGGUCUACCAUGAGGCGCCUAGGUUCGGUGCAGCGGAAAAUGCCGUGUGUGUUUGUGACGGAGGUGAAAGAGGAGCCCUCCACCAAAAGGGAGCAUCAGCCAUUUAAAGUUUUGGCAACUGAAACUAUAAGUCACAAGGCAUUAGAUGCAGAUAUAUACAGUGCAAUUCCAACAGAAAAAGUGGAUGGAACAUGUUGUUAUAUUACUAACUAUAAAGGUAAGCCAUACCUUUGGGCUCGACUAGAUAGAAAACCUAACAAAUUAGCUGAGAAAAGAUUUAAAAAUUUUCUACAUUCAAAACAAAACUCAAAAGAAUUUUUUUGGAAUGUUGAGGAGGACUUCAAACCUGUUCCAGAGUGCUGGAUACCAGCGAAGGAAAUAGAACAGUUAAAUGGGAAUCCGAUGCCUGAUGAAAAUGGACACAUUCCUGGUUGGGUACCAGUGGAGAAAAACAAUAAACAGUAUUGCUGGCAUUCCUCUGUGGUUAAUUAUGAAUUUCAAGUUGCCCUGGUACUGAAGCAUCAUCCUGAGGAUCCUGGUCUUUUGGAAAUUAGUGCAGUGCCGCUAUCAGAUCUCCUAGAACAAACACUAGAGCUUAUUGGAACAAAUAUAAAUGGAAACCCAUAUGGGUUAGGAAGCAAGAAGCAUCCAUUACAUCUUCUUAUACCACACGGGGCAUUUCAAAUAAGAAAUCUACCAGCCUUGGAGCACAAUGAUCUGUUAUCCUGGUUUGAAGGUUGCAGAGAGGGUAAAAUUGAAGGAAUAGUAUGGCAUUGCAAUGAUGGCUGUUUAAUCAAGGUUCAUCGCCAUCAUCUUGGUUUAUGCUGGCCAAUUCCAGAUACUUACAUGAACUCAAAACCAGUUAUUAUCAAUAUGAACCUGAACAAGUAACACCCAUUAGAACACAAGAAAACUUGAGCAAUGCUACUAAAUAUUAUAAACAACAACUCAAAGGACUGAAUGGGAACAUUAUUGUUGGAAGAAGGAAAGAGAGCCCUAAAAUCCUGUACCAGCAAUUUAAUUUUAUAAGAAGACAGUCAUCAGAAAUCUGAAUAAAUAAAAAAGGCAAACCCUAAUUAAAGACUUGGGUUAGCUCACAUGCUAAACUGUCUAUUAGCCAAUCUAGAACACGAUGAUUAUGUGUUAAAACAACAAAUGCCAGAUGUGCUUCAGAAAAUAUAAGUAUUUCUGAUGAAC